UGACUUUGGACAACAUACUUAAUCUCCCUGAGCCUGGGACUCUUCUAGGUCUUGAAAACAGGGGCACUGACACCCACCUCCCAGUGCUGCUAUGAAGACCACACAAGAUACCUGGAUACAGACUCAGCCCACCUGCACCCAGGUGAAAUAAACAGCCAUGUUGCUCACACAAAGCCUGUUUGGUGGUCUCUUCACCUGGAUGCGUGAGACAUUUGGUGCCGAAGACCUGGGUCGGCGGGACUCCUUCAGGACACCAGUCCCCUGUCCUCACCCUCACUCCAUGAAGAGAUCCACCUAUAACCUCGGGUCCUCAGACCAGCCAGCUCAAGGAACAUCUCACUGAUGUUAUAUCAGAAGAUGGAAACGUCAGGCCUCUGGGCCCAAGCUAAGCCAUCAUAUCCCUGUGACCUGCACGUAUACAUCCAGAUGGCCUGAAGCAUCUGAAGAUCCACAAAAGAGUGAAAAUAGCCUUAACUGAUGACAUUC